UGACUUUUUCCUUAAUCAAACUUCUUUAAAUUUGACCAAGUUUAUAGAAAAACAUAUCAACAUUUUUAACUCCAAACAAACAUACUAUGAAAAUGUAUUCAAUAUUAGGUUUAAUGGAACUAAUUUGGUGUUAUAAGAGUUACUACAUUUCUAUAUAAACUUGGUCAAGCUUAUAGAAGUUUGAUUAGGAAAAAAGUCAA
rfam:Oryza sativa (indica cultivar-group) chromosome 1, whole genome shotgun sequence.